UACGUAGGGUGCGAGCGUUGUCCGGAUUUAUUGGGCGUAAAGAGCUCGUAGGUGGCUCGGUAAGUCGGGUGUGAAAUUUCGAGGCUCAACCUCGAGACGCCACCCGAUACUGCUGUGGCUAGAGUCCGGUAGGGGAGCGUGGAAUUCCUGGUGUAGCGGUGAAAUGCGCAGAUAUCAGGAGGAACACCAGCGGCGAAGGCGGCGCUCUGGGCCGGUACUGACACUGAGGAGCGAAAGCGUGGGGAUCAAACAGG
rnacentral:rRNA from 1 species